ACGGUCCUAAGGUAGCGAAAUUCCUUGUCGGGUAAGUUCCGACCCGCACGAAAGGCGUAACGAUUUGGGCACUGUCUCAACAACAGACUCGGUGAAAUUGUAAUUCCGGUGAAGAUGCCGGAUACCUGCGACAGGACGGAAAGACCCCAUGGAGCUUUACUGUAGCUUGACAUUGGGUCUUGGUACUACAUGUACAGGAUAGGUGGGAGGCUUUGAAACCAGGACGCCAGUUUUGGCGGAGCCAUCCUUGGGAUACCACCCUUGUAGUACUGGGACUCUAACCAUAGGCCAUGAAUCUGGUCUUGGGACACUGUCAGGUGGGCAGUUUGACUGGGGCGGUCGCCUCCCAAAAGGUAACGGAGGCGCUCAAAGGUUCUCUCAGUACGGUCGGAAAUCGUACGUAGAGUGUAAAGGCAAAAGAGAGCUUGAUUGCAAGACAUACAGGUCGAGCAAGGAUGAAAAUCGGACUUAGUGAUCCGGUGGUUCUGCGUGGAAGGGCCAUCGCUCAACGGAUAAAAGCUACCCUGGGGAUAACAGGCUUAUCUCCCCCAAGAGUCCACAUCGACGGGGAGGUUUGGCACCUCGAUGUCGGCUCAUCACAUCCUGGGGCUGAAGUAGGUCCCAAGGGUUGGGCUGUUCGCCCAUUAAAGUGGUACGCGAGCUGGGUUCAGAACGUCGUGAGACAGUUCGGUCCCUAUCCGUCGCAGGCGUAGGAAAUUUGAGAAGACCUGUCCUUAGUACGAGAGGACCGGGAUGGACGUACCUCUGGUGUACCAGUUGUUCUGCCAAGGGCAUGGCUGGGUAGCUAUGUACGGAAUGGAUAAGCGCUGAAAGCAUCUAAGCGCGAAGCCAACUUCAAGAUAAGAUUUCCCACCGCAAGGGUAAGACCCCAGAAAGACUAUCUGGUUGAUAGGUCGAAGGUGUAAGUGCAGCAAUGUAUUUAGCUUAUCGAUACUAAUAGGUCGAGGACUUGACCAA
rnacentral:rRNA from 1 species